CCUACGGGGGGCAGCAGUGGGGAAUAUUGGACAAUGGGCGAAAGCCUGAUCCAGCCAUGCCGCGUGUGUGAAGAAGGCCUUCGGGUUGUAAAGCACUUUCAGUGGGGAAGAAAGCCUUGGGGCUAAUACCCUCGAGGAAGGACAUCACCCACAGAAGAAGCACCGGCUAACUCCGUGCCAGCAGCCGCGGUAAUACGGAGGGUGCGAGCGUUAAUCGGAAUUACUGGGCGUAAAGCGCGCGUAGGCGGUCUGAUAAGCCGGUUGUGAAAGCCCCGGGCUCAACCUGGGAACGGCAUCCGGAACUGUCAGGCUAGAGUGCAGGAGAGGAAGGUAGAAUUCCCGGUGUAGCGGUGAAAUGCGUAGAGAUCGGGAGGAAUACCAGUGGCGAAGGCGGCCUUCUGGACUGACACUGACGCUGAGGUGCGAAAACGUGGGUAGCAAACAGGAUUAGAUACCCCUGUAGUC
rnacentral:rRNA from 1 species